GAUGAAGAAAGCAGCGAAAUGCGAUAAGUAAUGUGAAUUGCAGAAUUCAGUGAAUCAUCGAAUCUUUGAACGCACAUUGCGCCCCUUGGUAUUCCGAGGGGCAUGCCUGUUCGAGCGUCAUUAUAACCCCUCAAGCUCAGCUUGGUGUUGGGGCCUGCUGCACUGGCAGCCCUUAAAAUCAGUGGCGGCGCCAUCUGGCUCUAAGCGUAGUAAUUCUUCUCGCUAUGGAGUCCUGGUGGAUGCUUGCCAUCAACCCCCAGUUUUUCUAUGGUUGACCUCGGAUCAGGUAGGGAUACCCGCUGAACUUAAGCAUAUCAAUAAGCGGAGGA
rnacentral:misc_RNA from 1 species